UGGGGAAUAUUGCACAAUGGGGGAAACCCUGAUGCAGCGACGCCGCGUGAAGGAAGAAGUAUCUCGGUAUGUAAACUUCUAUCAGCAGGGAAGAUAGUGACGGUACCUGACUAAGAAGCCCCGGCUAACUACGUGCCAGCAGCCGCGGUAAUACGUAGGGGGCAAGCGUUAUCCGGAUUUACUGGGUGUAAAGGGAGCGUAGACGGUGUGGCAAGUCUGAUGUGAAAGGCAUGGGCUCAACCUGUGGACUGCAUUGGAAACUGUCAUACUUGAGUGCCGGAGGUGUAAGCGGAAUUCCUAGUGUAGCGGUUAAAUGCGUAGAUAUUAGGAGGAACACCAGUGGCGAAGGCGGCUUACUGGACGGUAACUGACGUUGAGGCUCGAAAGCGUGGGGAGCAAACAGG
rnacentral:rRNA from 1 species